GAUGUCCAUGGGUUUGGACAAACGUGUGAUGACACAUAUCCAUCAUUACAGUAUUAUACAGAGUACUUUCACUGUCCCCCAAAUCCUCUGUGCUCUGCCUACUCACCCCUCCCAUCCCCAACCCCUGGCACUUCUGGUCCUUUCACUUUCUCUAUAGUUUUGCCUUUUCCCAUGUCAUACGGUUGGAAUCGUACAGUAUGUAGCCUUCUCAGGUUGGCUUCUUUAUCUUAGUAACAUGUACUGAUGGUUCCUCCAUGUCUUUUCAUGGCGUGAUACCUCAUUUCUCUCUAGUGCUG